rnacentral:rRNA from 1 species
UACGAAUGGGGCAAGCGUUGUUCGGAAUCACUGGGCUUAAAGCGUGCGCAGGCGGUCUUGCAAGUCAGAAGUGAAAGCCCGGGGCUUAACCCCGGAAUUGCUUUUGAAACUGCAAGACUAGAAUAUGGGAGAGGUUAGCAGAAUUCCGAGUGUAGAGGUGAAAUUCGCAGAUAUUCGGAGGAAUACCAGUGGCGAAGGCGGCUAACUGGACCAUUAUUGACGCUCAGGCACGAAAGCGUGGGGAGCAAACAGG